rnacentral:misc_RNA from 1 species
GUGACUCCAACUUUGUCAACCCUGUAGUAUAAUGACAGAUCCCAUAAAGAUUAAUUAAAAAUUGAAAUAUUAACACAUUCACUAGGUAAUAUUGCAGCUUGAAAGCUCCAAGUUCAAGCUUCACCAUCUUAAAUUCUUCAAUUAUAUCACACACAACAAGUACACAUGCAAGAAUAGAUAAAUGUAAUGACUCUACAUAAAUACUUACAGCUGCAACUGUGUCAGUCCAAAC